CUAACUGAUACCCCAAGAGGGAAAUGUAGUAAUGGCAGCAACAGUGCCCAGGGCUUUGAUGUGUCUCUCAGCGUCUAAAGUGUGACAUAGCAAUCUUGUGUGGACUGAGUGAGUGAUGCAGAAUUUCUUCUGGCCCCAUUUUGUGACUUUAGGAGCCCCUGGUUUAAAUCACAAUGAGAAACCAUAUCACACCUUUGAGAAUGGCUCAAAUCAAAAACACCAGAAGAAACAAGUCCUGACUAGGAUAUGGAGAAAUACACUGGUUUUGGAAAUGUAGACUGGUUCAACCCUUAUGAGAAACAGUAUCAAAGUUUCUUAAAAGAGUAAAAGUGCAUCUGUCAUCAGACCCAGCAAUUCCACUUCGAGGUAUCUACCCACAUGCACAAAUACACUGCUUUGAAGGGAAACUUGCACUCCCAUGAUCACUGCUGCACUAUUUGUAAUAGCCACGCUAUGGAAACAACCUAAAUGCCCCAAAACAGAUGAGAUAUCAAGAAGCUGUGGUUUAUACACAGAACACUAUUCAGGGAUCAAAAAACAAACUCAUGCCAUCAGCAGCAAUAUGGAUGGAGCUGGGAGGGAUUACAUUAAUUGAAAUAAGUCAAAAGAGGAAGGCAAA